CCUUCGAUAGCUCAGCUGGUAGAGCGGAGGACUGUAGAGCGUAAGUCAGACAUCCUUAGGUCGCUGGUUCAAUUCCGGCUCGAAGGA